UACGUAGGGUGCAAGCGUUAAUCGGAAUUACUGGGCGUAAAGCGUGCGCAGGCGGUGAUGUAAGACAGAUGUGAAAUCCCCGGGCUUAACCUGGGAACUGCAUUUGUGACUGCAGGGCUAGAGUACGGUAGAGGGGGAUGGAAUUCCGCGUGUAGCAGUGAAAUGCGUAGAUAUCCGGAGGAACACCGGUGGCGAAGGCGGCUUUCUGGACCGACACUGACGCUGAGGCGCGAAAGCUAGGGGAGCAAACGGG
rnacentral:rRNA from 1 species